rnacentral:rRNA from 1 species
UACGUAGGGGGGCUAGCGUUGUCCGGAAUCAUUGGGCGUAAAGCGCGUGUAGGCGGUCCGGUAAGUCCGCUGUGAAAGUCGGGGGCUCAACCCUCGGAUGCCGGUGGAUACUGUCGGGCUUGAGUACGGAAGAGGCGAGUGGAAUUCCUGGUGUAGCGGUGAAAUGCGCAGAUAUCAAGGAGGAACACCGGUGGCGAAGGCGGUUCUCUGGGCAUGACCUGACGCUGAGACGCGAAAGCGUGGGGAGCAAACAGG